rnacentral:rRNA from 1 species
GAUGAACGCUGGCGGCGUGCCUAAUACAUGCAAGUCGAGCGAACAGAUGAGGAGCUUGCUCCGCUGACGUUAGCGGAGGACGGGUGAGUAACACGUGGAUAACCUACCUAUAAGACUGGGAUAACUUCGGGAAACGGGAGCAAAUACCGUAUAAUAUAUUGAACCGCAGGGGUCAAUAGUAAAAGACGGUGUUGGGGGAAGGUAUAGAUGGAUCCGCGCCGCAUUAGCUAGUUGGUAAGGUAACGGCUUACCAAGGCUACGAUGCGUAGCCGAGCUGUGGGGGUGAUCGGCCACACUGGAACUUGGCCGCGCUCCUGACUCCUACGGGAGGGCGCAGUAUGCAAUCUGCCGCAAUGGGCGAAAGCCUGACGGAGCAACGCCACGUGAGUUAUGACGGUCUUCGGAUCGUAAAACUCUGUUAUUAGUGAAGAACCACUUUGUACGUAACUAUGCACUUCUUGACGGUACCUAAUCAGAAAGCCACGGCUAACUACGUG